CAUCAUGUGCUGGGCUUUGUCCCUAGAUGAUCUCUCCAAUUCCAUUAACUACUUAAGUUAUCAUGAAGAACUUAGCUUUCUUUUUAAAAUCCGGUGAUUAAAUAUACCCCUUUUUUCUGAAUAGAUUACUUCUCUCCUGGAACUUAUUAGGCUUGAUAUUCAGUGACCUUAGGGGUUGAAUAGGGCCUUUGGGUCCCUGUUUUAAUGAUCAGACACAUCAUUAGUUGGCAGAUAACUCUGUGACUGAGUCCUUAAAGAAGGCUUUUUUCUUUCAAAUUAGUCAUGCUAUAAGACAUAAAUUUACAAGUUUACAUCAUUAAAAAGGUACAUAGAUGACAACUGCAAUAUCUGGCCGGUAGGCAUACCUUCUUUAGAAU
rnacentral:lncRNA from 1 species